rnacentral:lncRNA from 1 species
AUGAACAUAUGCACAGAGAACAUGCUCAUGCUUUUUCAAAGAGUGGAGAUUGGGAUUCGAAACCUUUGCAGGCAUGUGUGCGUGUGUGCGUGCGUGCGUGCGUGCGUGCCUGUUCCUCAUAUUGGAUGGUGAAUAGGCAUGCAGGAGAAGUCACGAUUAAAGUGGCAAAACUGUGUGCAAAUACACAAGCCCCUAGGGGUUCUUACAGGCUGAUCGCUGACAACCAGUGGGGGUGUUGCCAGUUGCAUCCUGGACUCACAAAGCAGACAUGCACUUUGCUAAGAACAGACUCUUGCGUCAUCUAAUGGAUCAAAAUGAAGGAUGGAUGAUUUUUGAGUCAGGAGGGUGAAAGCACCUGAAUGCCCUGUAAGUGCUACCUGCCUUUUACCUCUGCAAAAGCACUGCUUUAUUGGAAAUGAUCAUUUCCUAAAACAAAGCCGGAACAGUAGGAGCUUUGGGUUUUGUACAAAGCUACCCUGAAAGUCAGUCUAGCUCAUCUCCUGCUGGUGAAAUAAAUGCUGGAGAGCCUCCCUUCAGAA